CCAUCCGAUGAGGCGAUACACAAAACGGUUAAACUGUUGAAAUUACGAUAUUUCA
rnacentral:ribozyme from 1 species